GGAAAGAUGAAGAGCGCGUGCAGUCCCCGAAGGGUACACCCUAGGGUUCCCCCCCACGCGAAGUUUCUCUCCGCAAUCCGUGCCACCUAUCGAGUAGGAUUCCUAGUGUUCGAUUCCUGUGAGAAAAGUUUCCCACAGUCAAAUCACUCGCCUCUACAGCCGGUUCACCAGCCUGGACAAAGGAGAGAAUGGGACUCUCAGCCGGGAAGAUUUCCAGAGGAUUCCAGAACUUGCCAUCAACCCACUGGGGGACCGGAUCAUCAAUGCCUUCUUUCCAGAGGGAGAGGACCAGGUAAACUUCCGUGGAUUCAUGCGAACUUUGGCUCAUUUCCGCCCCAUUGAGGAUAAUGAAAAGAGCAAAGAUGUGAAUGGACCCGAACCACUCAACAGCCGAAGCAACAAACUGCACUUAGAGGAAGAGAGAUAUAUAUAGAGAGAGAUCGAGACUGAAAUUGAGCAACACUCCUCCCAAGCAUGGAAUUUGCUUUUCGACUAUAUGAUUUGGAUAAAGAUGAAAAGAUCUCCCGUGAUGAGCUGUUACAGGUGCUACGCAUGAUGGUCGGAGUAAAUAUCUCAGAUGAGCAGCUGGGCAGCAUCGCAGACAGGACCAUUCAGGAGGCUGAUCAGGAUGGGGACAGUGCCAUAUCUUUCACAGAAUUUGUUAAGGUUUUGGAGAAGGUGGAUGUAGAACAGAAAAUGAGCAUCCGAUUUCUUCACUAAAGGAGACCAAACUGUUCCUUGCGGUCUAGUAUUUAAGAACUGGAAC
rnacentral:lncRNA from 1 species